rnacentral:lncRNA from 1 species
UAAUGAUCAAACAAGUCCAGGAAGGCUGGGCCAUGACCCUUUAACUAUGGGCGAGGACCAUCACGGGGGCGACGUCACAUAAACCCGAGACUCCCGACCAUGGGGACAGAGGCGCGGCCGAACCUAGACACCCCGGCGUCUCGGAAUGUGAAGAGUCGGUGACGCGGCGAAUGAUCAAGACGCCGCCAGCCCGGGAGGGGCUCUUAGUCUGCGCGCGCCCGGUGGUGGCGCGGCCCAACGCCUUCUCAUCACAGCAGUCCCUUUAACCCAAACUUUCUCCCUCUACUCGGACCCCAGCACGCACACAUUGGCUGAACCACAUCCGCCCAGGACCGCCUCCUUCCACUGCCUAUUGGCUACAUCAAGCAUCAAUCCCCAUAUAAGACUUCCGAUUGGCCCGUGUUCUUGUCAAUCAGGUGGGUCAUAGGGUGGGCGGAGCCCAGAGCGCCGCGCCAGCCUCACCGCCUAGCCUCCCUCCUGUCUGCCAGACUGCGGACUCCGACAGGUCCCAGGGCCAAGGCCAGAGCGGCACACAGGGGCGGGACUGCGCGCGGCUCCGGGGACUCACCGAUCCGUUGUCCCACCGGAGAGCUGAACGGAUUUCCCAGGAGAAAGUCCAUUGCCGCGGCUACCGCUGCCACCAGCUCCCAGAAUCAGGCGGUGUCCAAUGAGGCUGAGGGACUCUCCCAGCAACUGGAGAUGAGCAGCGACAUCAAUGGGCUCUGUUUCAGGAGCUUUGGCUGGUGAGGCUGGCAAAAGCAUUGUGGUGGGUGGGGACUUCUUUUGGGGUGACAGUACUCCUACAGAAGAGGCUGAGAAGAGGAGGAUGAAAAUUUGCCUAUGGCCCUCAAUG